GGACUUUGGGUUUUCUAUCAUCAUUUUAAAACAUUUUUUAGAUUAAGAUAUGAAAAUUAAGGUUAUCAUUGUUUAAUGCUAAUAAAUUUCCUUUUGCAUGGAUCUCAUGUAUUUCAACCUUAAAUUUUCUGGCACAGCAUAAAGAAUCCUCAGUGGAUUGUGAAUGAUCUAAAGAAACGGCACUUGUUUUAUUUCAUUAAGGUUAUGUAACAGUCUGCAAGUGCACAACUGGGCAGCUGUGGCCAUGGGUCUAAAACCCCAAUAUUCAGUGACACUCCAUCUAAAGUUUGCUUGCACUCCAGAAUGAAAAUAGCAAUUUCUACUUUAUGGUACUCCCUUAUCAAAGCAAUUGUCAUAUUACCAUCAGUCUUUUUUUCUUUCUGACCAGUUUCUUUCUGGAGCUGUUUGGGGCGUUUGUUUUGUGAGUUUGGGUUUCUGUUUGGUUGGGUUGGGGGUUUUGUUUUGGUUUGGUUUUUCCCCCUCUGGGCUUUUUGUGGUUUGGGUGGGUUUUUUGCUGUUUGUUUGUUUUUAACGCAAUCUGUGAUUGUGUGGAACCAGUACUUUCCUUUCAGGGUUGCCAGAUGUGACAAUUAACUAGUGUUUGGAUGCUGAGGGACACAGCACUUGUGGAAUUGUCACACUAUAUUUUGGUGUUAAGCUGACUAAAUAUGUUGCUAUGUUUUCCUGUACUUCUGGUUGUGAAUGAUGUCACAUGGCAACCCAUUCACCCCACCCUCAGUUCAGAAGAAGAAAGAAAAUCUAAGCCUAACUGAAAUACUCCUAUGUACCAAAUUACAUUACUAAAUAACAAGGUCAACAUGCUGCUGUAAUUUAUCCUCUGUGCUUCCCAAGGCUAUUAGGCCCUUCUCUGCAUUACACACUUGUGUGUUCGUUUUUAAAAGCUAUCUCUGUUCUAAUGUGCAGAAGUACUUCAGUCUCUUGCUUGUUGGGAUUUGAAGAGGAUUGCUGGUUCUGAAGCUCUUGCCUGUUUAGAUGCUGCAGUCUUAUUGCUGCCUUUGACUUGUAGAUAUAAAAUGAUGUGCACUGAAGUGGCUGCUGCAUUUGGGAGACAGUGAAAGCUCUUUUCUUCAUAAAUUAUGACUAAGCUGACAGUGAAGGCAGUAUAAACUAAACUGGUGCACUCUCCUCAGUUCUCAAAGUCUGGGGAUUAAAAAUCUGUGUAAUUCUGCUGGGAUCCACAUGCCUAGGCUCAUGGGAAGAACAGAUACUCUUUCUAGAAGAGGAUUCUUCCUCAAAUUUCAUGACAGUACAAAUAAGAAGUGUUAAUUAUGUGAUCACAAUGGAGAAGAAUGCUGACCAUAACAAGAGGAAGGAGCAUGAGAUGGUACUUGAAUCAUGAUGUCUGCCUUGCAGCUACAAAAUCCUGUUAGCAUGGGCUCAGAAGAGAUGCAGAGGAGAUCAGCCCAGGUCAAGAUAUGAAACAUGAUGAUGUGGUUUUGAAGCAAUUAUGCCAGAGGACCAGACACCUUUGCAUCUGGAUUUGCAGAUGUCUUUGGCCAAGUUAGAUGAUGAGAGGUGUGUGGUACAUGUGAGCUGCAUGAAACUACUGACCAGUUUAUCACAGAAUAUACUAAUGCCGUAUUUCUCCCAACCUCCAGCAGCUGGACAUGCCUUGCAGUUCCUCUGGAAAAGACUUAAAACAGAAAGUCAAGGACCUGUGAGCUUCUCCUCAGAUUCUCCAUGGGAACAGAGGUAGGAUUCCUGAUUAUUUCAGUCCUCCUAAAUCUGCUGUUUCUUUGUGGAGCAGCAAGAAACUACUAAAGAAUCUACGGGAAAAACCACAUGCUUGUAUGACUGAGAUGAAUCUACAGUUUCAAAGAUGAUGGCAAGAAGUGUUUAAUUUUGCUGUUUGUGAGCUACACAUUGCAUCUGUUAAAUAGUUUUGGCACAAAAAUCUGAAAAAAAAAACUGAUUUACUAUACUUUUGCAUCUCCCUUUCAAAUACAUGUAGAGACCUUCAGAGACCAGAAAAGGACUUGAACACAGUUACCUUGCCCUUCUCUCUAGGUAGCAUCCUUGGGUGUUAGCAGCUCAUGGUGUGAGGGAUACAUGUGAUUAUCUUCUUCUUCCUGCAAACUGUGGAGCAUCUCCAAGGCUUAGACAAAUUUCUGGAUUGUUUCAUUGAAGGAAGCCAAAAUUUGAAA